rnacentral:rRNA from 1 species
AUUGAACGCUGGCGGCAGGCCUAACACAUGCAAGUAGAGCGAGCGACGGACGGGUGAGGAAUGUAUGGGGACUGCCCGAUAGAGGGGGAUAACUACUGGAAACGGUAGCUAAUACCGCAUAAUAUCGGAUAACACAUAUGGGAUGGGCUAGGAGGUGAGGUAAUGGCUCACCUAGGCGACGAUCCCUAGCUGGUCUGAGAGGAUGAUCAGCCACACUGGGACUGCGACACGUCCCAGACUCCUACGGAGGCAGCAGUGGGGAAUAUUGCACAAUGGGCGCAAGCCUGAUGCAGCCAGGCCGCGUGUAUGAAGAAGGCCCUAGGGUUGUAAAGUACUUUCAGUCGGGAGGCGUUACCGACAGAAGAAGCACCGGCUAACUCCGUGCCAGCCGCCGCGGUAAUUC